rnacentral:rRNA from 1 species
ACGAACGCUGGCGGCGUGCUUAACCCAUGCCAGUCGAACGGAAAGGCCCUGCUUUUGUGGGGUGCUCGAGUGGCGAACGGGUGAGUAACACGUGAGUAACCUGCCCUUGACUUUGGGAUAACUUCAGGAAACUGGGGCUAAUACCGGAUAGGAGCUCCUGCUGCAUGGUGGGGGUUGGAAAGUUUCGGCGGUUGGGGAUGGACUCGCGGCUUAUCAGCUUGUUGGUGGGGUAGUGGCUUACCAAGGCUUUGACGGGUAGCCGGCCUGAGAGGGUGACCGGCCACAUUGGGACUGAGAUACGGCCCAGAGUCCUACGGGAGGCAGCAGUGGGGAAUAUUGCACAAUGGGCGGAAGCCUGAUGCAGCAACGCCGCGUGCGGGAUGACGGCCUUCGGGUUGUAAACCGCUUUCGCCUGUGACGAAGCGUGAGUGACGGUAAUGGGUAAAGAAGCACCGGCUAACUACGUG